UCAGCAUGGACAUGAGGGCCCCUGCUCAGCUCCUUGGGAUCCUGCUGCUAUGGUUACCAGGUGCCAGUUGUGAAAUCCAGAUGACCCAGUCUCCAUCCUCCCUGUCUGUAUCUCUGGGAGACAGAGUCACAAUCACUUGUCGGGCCAGUCGGAACAUUAAUAAUUAUUUAAACUGGUACCAGCAGAAACCAGGGAAAGCUCCCCAGCUCCUGAUCUACUAUGCAUCCUACUUGGCAGAUGGGGUCCCAUCAAGGUUCAGUGGCAGUGGGUCUGGGACAGAUUAUUCCAUCACCAUUGGCAGCCUGGAGUCUGAAGACAUUGCAACUUAUUACUGUCAACAAGGUUAUACCCCUCCCACAGUGAUGCAUGUCAUAACAUAA